rnacentral:rRNA from 1 species
AUACGAAGGGGGCUAGCGUUGUUCGGUAUCACUGGGCGUAAAGCGCGCGUAGGUGGACUAAUCAGUUGAGGGUGAAAUCCCGGGGCUCAACCUCGGAACUGCCUUCAAUACUGUUAGUCUUGAGACCGAGAGAGGUGAGUGGAAUUCCUAGUGUAGAGGUGAAAUUCGUAGAUAUUAGGAAGAACACCAGUGGCGAAGGCGGCUCACUGGCUCGGUACUGACGCUGAGGUGCGAAAGCGUGGGGAGCAAACAGGAUUAGAAACCCUAGUAGUCC